rnacentral:lncRNA from 1 species
ACAACCUGAGAAUCUGUUUGCCAUCAAACUCCACCUCUAAGUAUGAAACCAAGAUCUUUGAUAUCUUGAUUUGAAAUAUCUUCCUUUAUAGUUAUUUUAAAUGUGACACUGCAGUCAGAAAAUGUUUUGUGAGCCCUUUUGCCGUAUUGUAUGUACCACUGUAGUGUUUAUGAUAGCAUAGAGAAUAAUUUCUAGUAGAACAAAGUCAAGAGUUUGGAUUGGAUGGGUCACCUACAUAUAUUUUACUAGGAAAA